rnacentral:tRNA from 1 species
UCCCUGAUAGUCCAGUGGCUGGGACUUCACACUCCCAAUGCAAGCGGCCCAGGUUCCAUUCCUGGUCAGGGAU